GACGAACGCUGGCGGCGUGCUUAACACAUGCAAGUCGAACGCUGAACCCGCUUCGGUGGGGGAUGAGUGGCGAACGGGUGGGUAACACGUGGGCAACCUGCCCCCGGCUCUGGGAUAACUCCAAGAAAUUGGGGCUAAUACCGGAUGUGACCGCUGGCCGCAUGGUCUGGUGGUGGAAAGGGUUUCCGGCUGGGGAUGGGCCCGCGGCCUAUCAGCUUGUUGGUGGGGUAGUGGCCUACCAAGGCGACGACGGGUAGCCGGCCUGAGAGGGUGACCGGCCACACUGGGACUGAGACACGGCCCAGACUCCUACGGGAGGCAGCAGUGGGGAAUAUUGCGCAAUGGGCGGAAGCCUGACGCAGCGACGCCGCGUGGGGGAUGACGGCCUUCGGGUUGUAAACCUCUUUCAGCAGGGACGAAGCGCAAGUGACGGUACCUGCAGAAGAAGCACCGGCCAACUACGUG
rnacentral:rRNA from 1 species